CUUUGAAGGUUAUUUUACAAAUAAUAGCCAUGUUUACUUUUACAUUAGUUUUGGGCAUCUAUUAAAGGUAAAAGUCUAAAAAUUUUAAAUGCUUAUGAGUUUCGAAUUUACUUUCAGCCUCAUAUAUUAUUCUACCUAUCAAGCAGGUUUCUAUAGCCUUGUGUGGUAUGCUAGACUGGAUUGGAUUGGAUGACAUUGAAUUAGAUAUGGUACUUUCUCUUGUAUGUUUUACAUUUCCUUCAAUCUCUGGUUACUUAACAAACUAUUGCAAGGUAUGUUGGAGUUUUUAUUGUUAUUACUAUUUGUACAAACUGGAUGAAUUUGAGCAUGAAAAUUCAGUGUGAUCUUUAUCAUUAAACCAUGUUUCUACUUUCCAAGUUUCUGCUUAUUCGGUGGUAUGUAAGGGAGUUGAUGAAUGCCAUUAGCAUUAAAACAUGUAAGGCUGUUUGCAUUUGCCAACUUCAGUGUUUGCAUAUGCAAACUGCACUAUCUAUUCUUUUCUCAGUAACACCAUUAUCUUGGGCUAAGUGGAGAGUUGUUUUACACCUUUCAUUCCUCUGCAUAUUAUUAAUAUGCUACAUUACAUUAUGUCAAUAUCGACCAAAAGAAAGGAUUUAAAAGAGGACAUCAACCAAUCUUCUAAGGCAUCCAAAAAAGUAUCCAUUACGAGUUCCCACAUGAAUUUUUCACCUGGUGAAGAUGACCAAGAACAAUCUCCUGUUGAUGGAACUAGCAUUCCAAUCCCGAUAGAUAGUCUCCAUUCAAGCCCUCCCUCGUUUUCCCAAGAGGAUACUUGCGUUACUAGAACUGGAAGGUCUAGGUCAAUUAUAUGGCUACAUUCCAAAAAGGCCUUAGUUGAUGGUAAAGAAAAGGCAGUGUGUAACUACUGACACUGACAACUUGUCGGUGGUUCUAAAAAUGAAACAAGGCAUUUGCAUGAUCAUCAUAGAAUUUGUACAAGGCGAAAAAACCAAGAUAUAUCACAAAUGAUGCUUGCGGGUAUGCAAAAACAAGACUCCAAAAAGAUAUUAAGCAAUUAUAGUUUAGAUCAACAAGUGGGGAGAGAUGAUCUUGCAAAUAUGAUUAUUCUUCAUGAGUAUCCGCUAAGCACGGUUGAUGAUAUAGGGUUUAGAAAAUUCUGCAACACUAUUUCAUCUCCUUCAAUGUUGUCUCUAGGAGAACUAUUAGGAGGGACAUUAUGAACGUUUAUGAAGUUCAGAAGGAGAAGUCCAUGAAAAUGUUAAACAAAAACCGGAGUAGAGUUGCCAUCACUAUUGAUUUUUGAACUACUAGCAACCAUAACAAAGGAUAUAUGACCAUCACAACACACUUUAUCAAUGAUAAUUGGGUUUUGCAUAAUCGACUUUUAAGAGAUGCACUUUCUGCAGCGUUGAUGGACUGUUUUUAUGAGCGGAAUAUUAAUACAAAGUUGUCCACAUUGACGGUUGACAAUUGCUCCACCAAUGAUGCGAUUGUGCAGGAUAUCUUAGGAGAGCUUCAACGUUCCACCCUUUUGUUACAUGCGAAUUUUUUCAUAUGCGUUGUUGUGCACAUAUUCUCAAUUUAAUUGUUCAAGAUGGCUUAUCGGUGAUUGGAGAAGUAAUAUCCAAAAUCCGUGAGACUGUUUCCUAUUGGACGACAUCACCUAAACGGGAGCAAAAUUUUGUAGACAUGGCAUGUCAAGCGGGCAUUCCAAGCACAAAGAAGUUAGGUCUUCAUUGUAAGACAAGUUGGAAUUCAACGUACUUGAUGCUUCAAACAACUUUAAAGCAUCAUGAGUCAAAUUUUAGAUGCUUACCAAGUGAUGAAGAAUGAGACUUGGUAGAAAAGAUCAGUGAGAAGCUAGAAAUAUUUUAUGUGAAAGAUUUAAUUCCUUUACCAAGUGAAUAAACCUAAGCGAAAGUGGUUGUUAAGUUGAUUUUAAGAGUUCUUUGGACGUAAACAUAAAACAAUAAAAAUAAACCAAACUAAAACAACACCAGAUUUUUACAUGGUUCGGCAAAAUGCCUACAUCCAUGGGACUAAAUCCAGAAUAAAGUUAAUCCACUAGGUUUACUUUACAGUUCAAUUACAAAGUUAGAGAUUGCCUCAGUUGCAAGAACACCCCUGUUUUGCAACGCUUCAAUUUUUAUUCUUUGGUUAAACAACGUACAAGCAUAGUUAGCUCCAAGAACACCUAACCAACUGGUCAACCUUGAGCUUCUCUCAAGGUAUAAAAACGAAGACGCACUUCGAAUGAAGAAGCUCAUCAAGCUUCAUACAUCAACUAUGAACAAAAUGUAGAGAGCAAGGAUGCAUUCUAGGUACUUGAAUAAAUGUAGUUUUAAGCUUUACCUAAGCAUAGAAACUUGACAAAAACAAAGGAAAAAUUCAGAGAAUUUCAGAGUACUUUUUAGGGACAAUAUUAGGCUUAAAAAACAAGUGCAUUGGAGAAGACUUUACAUAAGUAAAAACCGGCCAAUGUAAGGGACAAGUGGCUAACAAUAACUUUAUGAAUUUCAAUUUUAUUAAAGUUAUAUUCCAUUAUCAAGAUGCCACCUAUCAAAGAGAAUAAAAUUUUCUAGCACAUUGAAUAUCAAUUUGACAAGUGUUAUGGACCACACUAAAGGUGGAAAAUUAACCUGCCUGACCUGACCCGACCCGACCUGGUUCGUGGUGGGUUAAGCCAAAUUACGAGUCGGGCCUAGCCCGGCCCGCCUCUUUGGCCAAAAGGGUUGGCCCAUCCCGACCCGCCAACCCUAGCUCGGCUGGUUUUUGUGUGGGUUGAC